ensembl:rRNA 5S_rRNA 5S ribosomal RNA
ACCGGCAGCUAGCUCUCUGCUACUCUCACAUGGUCGUCCAACUGAAGCUAAGCAGGGCUGAGCCUGGUCAGUACCUGGAUGGGAGACCACAUGGGAAAGUUAGGUUGCUGCUGGAA